rnacentral:sRNA from 2 species
UAAACAACUUGGCUGAAUCCUGAUUUUUUAAGGAGCGGGGGAUUUUUUCCGGGGUGAAUAGGAUUAAGCAAUGCAGCUUUUCCUUAGGGCAUGCUCUUUGUCCGAAUCCGUCAACUAACCUCGUAAGCCGGAAGAGGAGAGCA